rnacentral:rRNA from 1 species
CCUACGGGAGGCAGCAGUGGGGAAUUUUGGACAAUGGGGGCAACCCUGAUCCAGCCAUGCCGCGUGCGGGAAGAAGGCCUUCGGGUUGUAAACCGCUUUUGUCGGGGAAGAAACGGUCUGCGCUAAUACCGCGGGCUAAUGACGGUACCCGAAGAAUAAGCACCGGCUAACUACGUGCCAGCAGCCGCGGUAAUACGUAGGGUGCAAGCGUUAAUCGGAAUUACUGGGCGUAAAGCGUGCGCAGGCGGCUUUGCAAGACAGAUGUGAAAUCCCCGGGCUUAACCUGGGAACUGCAUUUGUGACUGCAUGGCUGGAGUGCGGCAGAGGGGGAUGGAAUUCCGCGUGUAGCAGUGAAAUGCGUAGAUAUGCGGAGGAACACCGAUGGCGAAGGCAAUCCCCUGGGCCUGCACUGACGCUCAUGCACGAAAGCGUGGGGAGCAAACAGGAUUAGAUACCCUGGUAGUCCACGCCCUAAACGAUGAUCACUGGGUGUUCGGGGAGCGAUCUCUGAGUACCGUAGCUAACGCGUGAAGUGAUCCGCCUGGGGAGUACGGUCGCAAGAUUAAAACUCAAAGGAAUUGACGGA